rnacentral:misc_RNA from 1 species
AUUUCUUUCAUUCGCUCUUACUUCAUAAUUUCAUCAUUGGAUAAAUGGCAGUAAUAACGCAUUGCUGGACUUUAAUUGCUAUUGUUACUUGUAGCAAUGAAGAACACAUAAUGGCAAUGCUACACUUCUAGAAACAGAAAGAAAAAUGACAAAAUAUAAAUAUUACAAAUUCUGCCCAAAUUAAGGUACGCAAAGCUUCAACAUUUGCUAUAGCUGCAACCUCAAUGAAAAAACAAAUUCCCUUCUGGGGAAUUGUAAGGAUGGAAUGGCAUGCUUCUUGCGGGAGUUGAGAGUCCACACAUAUAUAAUCCCUCAAAUGAUACAUUAUCAAAUCUUUUAACCAUCUGCUGUUGCUUGGAUCUGAGCUGCAUACUGCAAGUUCCAGAGAAUGUCCUCAAAGGAAGGACGGCUCCAUGAUUCAGAACAAAUGCAUUUGUUUGUUAUUGAAAGCACAAUUGAUAAAGAUUCUUGAGAGCAAGUUGCCGACACAAUUGGGUUUAUUAAUUUCCUAUGGCCAUCUGGGCUGUUACAAGAUGCCAAUGCAUUCAGCAGCAGCUUAUCUUUUCUGCCAGAUACUGAGGGGCCAACAAGCGAUUCAAGUAAUAUGAAGCCAAAGCUAUAAACGUCAUCCUCUACUCUUGUCAUUUGCCGUGAUUCCAAGCCAUCUCCACGUUCCCCACAAUUUGCUAUUUCUUCAGAGAUAAUGGAAAGUCCAUAGUCACUCAAUUUUGCAAUCCCACGGUCACUGAGCAGGAUAUUAUUUGUCUUCAAUCGAUUGUUAAAGAAACCAGGAAUAACUCCUGUAUGCAGAAACUGCACAGCUUUUGCCACAGCAAUUAGCACUGUCAAUCUCUCUGACCAAUCAAGAACCUUGCCUGGACUGUUCUCUACACCAAUAUAAUACUGCUAUACUAAGAAUAUAAUUCAUGACUUCAAACUAAAUAUAACAAAAAGGACAAAUAUUAAAAAAAAAGAAGGAAAAACAUCUAAUUGAUGGUUCAAAAAAAAUGAAAUGACAUAUGCUGGUUAUUGUUUACCUAAGCUUGAUCACCAUUAUGUAUGGGUUCUCUAAUUGUCUAAAUUAUCUACAAGUACUAAAAAAAAAAUCAUGAUUCAACCACUUCCAAGAGAAAAUGUUUCAGAAAUUACCAUAGAGGUAAGUUUGAAAAUUCCCAUUCGAAAUGUAUUCAAAUAUAAGGAAGACUUUGUUCACUCUGUAAUCUUGUCCACCAUUGUCAAUGCAGUGCCCCAAGAGGCAAACCAAAUGUGGGUGCCGAAGCUUUGCAAGCAAAUCCAACCUGAGUUUAAGAUUUCGAAAAGAGUAUUUCUUCGAUGAAGGUAGGCACCUUAUAGCAACUUGGGUCCCAUUUUCUAAUCUUCCUUUAUAGAGCUUUCCAUAAGAACCUUCACCCAAAAUGGCAGAGUUAUCAAAGUUUUUGGUGGCUUCCUUUAACUCUUCUAAUGUAAAUGACCUACACGCCGGGAGAUCUUGUGUCCCCAAUUUUGCAGCUUGAGGAAUAAAUUCUGAAGAGCAAAGUAGAAAACAAACAGUCACCAAGCAAGAUAAGAAAUUCUCAAGAGUCAAGCCCACCAACUCAGGUAAAAUUGCUUUUAGUGAAAUUUUCAAACAAAAAGCAAAACUUCUGCACUUUCUUGUUACUAGAUGACCUACUUGCCCCGGUGAGGAUCUCAGACGAGAGCCCUGCUGCUGAGUUUUCUUGCACUACUUUGUGCAACAAAUGCUGCUCUGAGAUUCCUCGCAGGCAAUAUCUUCUACACACAAGAAGAAAGCCCAAAGCCAGAAGCACCAGAACAAAAAGUACACCAGCGGCCACACCCACUACUAUUCCUACAUCUUCGCCUCCAGAUUUUUUCUGUUUCACAGGCAUGGCCAUACAAGAUGAUUCCGCACGCUGAUGAUGUAAACCAAUUGAUAAGCAAUUUCCACCAAACUUCACAACUCUAUCAUCUGAUUCCGUUCUCAAACAAUGAGGCAAUCCACCAGUAAAACUAUUAUUGGAUAUAUCAACAAACUGUAGUUUGCUGCCACAACUUAGCUGGUUUGGGAGCGAACCACUUAACAUAUUUGAUGCCAAAUUCAAGUAAGUGAUGUUUGGCAAUGCGAAAAUUGAAGCAGGAGGUGUUCCACUUAGUUCAUUGAAUGACAUAUCAAGGUGUUGAAGCUGACUAAGCUGGCUAUAUUGAUGUGGAAUCUCACCUGAAAAGGAGUUAUUGCUAAGGAAUACUGUGACCAAUCCUUUAGGCAUUGAAGCUAGGUUAGAAUCUAGAUUGUUCACGCUUAAAUCCAGCAAACGGAGGUUACUUAAGGUAUCAAGACUUGGUAAGUUCCCAGAUAUCUCAUUGCUAGACAAAACAAGAUCGGUAAGAGUGGUAACUCUCUGUAUUGAAGAAGGAAAUGGACCAUUCAACUGGUUAUUCCUCAAUCUUAGAAUUGUAAGAUUAGACAAUGAAUCAAACCAAUUGGGAACUGUAUCGUUGAAGAAAUUGUCAUCGAGUGUAAGAGUUUGAAGUUUCACCAUUUUUGAAAUCUUUGGUGGAACAGAACCAAAUAGGUAAUUUGAACUUAAAUCCAAAUAUUCAAGCGAAGACAACCGAUGAAUUUUGUCUGGAAGUGGACCCCAAAUGCCCAGAGAUACAAGACUGAGUACUCUCAAAUUGGUUAGCCUUGCAAGAGUAACAACAAAAGAAUCCAUAGAGAAAUUCUCUGAUAAAGUUUGAUUUGGAAUUACCAACCCAACAAAGUUAUCAAUCUUAGCAGGCUUGUCUCCUAUAAUUCUGAGCUCAGUGACAAAAUUGUCCUGGCAUGACACAUUCGCUUGUGCGGAUGAAGAUAUAUGGCAAAAAUCUAUGCGAUGGUCAUUCCAAAUUUCUAGUUGAUUUGGGAACUCCAAAUGCUUCCUGAGUUGAAGAAGCACUUGUGUUUGUGAAGAUUGUAAUUGAUGGGAACCCACAAUCAGAGAACUCCAUAAAAGACAUGGCAGCAGCAACCAGCCGCAGUACCCCAUGAACAAAUUCCCUGCUUUUGUAUACACACUUAUUGAUGGUGCUUUUGAAUGUCUGAAAACCGCGCAUAAAAAGAAAUUGUCAUAAAUUGAAAGGCAAAUCAGUCCUAAAUGGUGAAACAGAAUUGAAGAAAAGAGUGACCUGUGUAGGAUCAAAAGGAGUUGCUACCAGUUGGGUUUUAUGAUGAUAAAUUCUACAUGACAAAACACAGUUAUAGGGAGUCAGGUACAGAAAACUAUACCUGAAGUGAAACUUCUCAGUUUAGAAACCGCCCAUCAAGCAAAAGAAAGAAAAUAUAACGGGCUUGAGCUAUAAUUUUGAUCAGCUGAAAUUGAAAAGUUUGUUAAAGUUCUUUCCUUUUUUUCUUCUUUCCCUUCUCAAUAGAACAACAACCAGUGAAUUAGUAGCAUUAAUGAAAUUUACUUUUCGCUGGAAAUCUUAGAAUGGGAUGGCGGGGUACCUGGAGUAGAUGCAGCUAGCCCUUCCAGAUCAUGUUAUCACCUAAGCUUUCUCCAACAUUAAUGGAAAGAGAGAGUUUUUGUCCAUAGUACACCAACAGUUGGCAGUUGAAACUCUCUACCAUGAACAGAGAAGGUAGUAGAGACUAGAGAGAGAGAGAGAGUAACUAGAAAAGUUAAAAGGAAUCUGUUUACUGGCAUUCUAUAAUUUGCAGAAAGUUGUUGUGUUUAAUGUGUCAGAGACAAGAAAAACUGAUGAUAAAGCAAUUUUUUAACUCCACUAGCCAAUGUACAAUCAUGGUUACCUCAAAUCGAAGGGCAGAAUAGUA